GGAGGAGAAUAGAGCUCUUGUAGCUUCCUGAGGAAAGGAACAGUCCAGAACUUCUGCAGGGGUGACUGACUGCCAAAGCUCCUCUGGAGAAAGGUGAAGUACGUAUCCCACAGUCUCAGAAAUUCCAGUAUACCUCUUCCUCCUCGUGGCCGUGGCUGGUGGCUUCUGCUCUGCCCUGCCAGGACUGCAGCCCCGCUUCCAUCCCUCCAGCUUGCGCCUGCAGCACCCUUAGUUCCAGCACCUAUGAACAGGAGCACUGGAAGAGGGUCCCAAGAACCUGGAGCAGGUGGGAUGUAUCUGGCCCUCACAGAUGUCAGUGCAGGACUGGAGUUGGAAUAUGAAUUCCUUCAUCAGGCCAAAUUCACAGCCUGCUCCUGGACAGUGCCAUUACAUGGCAUGGUGGCAUAAUGCUCUGGUAACCUCUCCUCAAGACAUGUUGAACAAUGAAGUGUGUGUGUGUGUGUGUAUAUGUGCCAAUCUCAUAAACAUGAAAAAUGGCAUUUUUACCCCAGUGUGUCUUAUCCCACCAUGAUGGAAUGCUCAAUGAUUACUGAAAAACUAUUGACAGGGCUGCCAUAACUCAAGACAAACUCCUGGGCUAGAUCUGGCAGAAUUUUUUUUUUAAAUAGUUUUCUGUUGGAAAAUGCAGUUUUGUCAGUCAA